rnacentral:rRNA from 1 species
CCUACGGGAGGCUGCAGUGGGGAAUAUUGGGCAAUGGGCGCAAGCCUGACCCAGCAACGCAGCGUGAAGGAAGAAGGCGUUCGGGUUGUAAACGGCGUUUGACAGGGACGAAGCAAGUGACGGUAACGGACGAAUAAGCAACGGCGAACUACGGGCCAGCAGCCGCGGUAAUACGUCGGGGGCAAGCGUUAUCCGGAUUUAUUGGGUGUAAAGGGCGUGUAGGCGGGAAUGCAAGUCAGAUGUGAAAACUAUGGGCUCAACCCAUAGCCUGCAUUUGAAACUGUAUUUCUUGAGUGCUGGAGAGGCAAUCGGAAUUCCGUGUGUAGCGGUGAAAUGCGUAGAUAUACGGGGGAACACCAGUGACGAAGGCGGAUUGCUGGACAGUAACUGACGCUGAGGCGCGAAAGCGUGGGGAGCAAACAGGAUUAGAUACCCUUGUAUC